GGCCGAUGGCCCAUUAGCUAGUUGGUAGGGUAAUGGCCUACCAAGGCGACGAUGGGUAGCUGGUCUGAGAGGAUGAUCAGCCACACUGGAACUGAGACACGGCCCAGACUCCUACGGGAGGCAGCAGUAGGGAAUUUUCGGCAAUGGGCGCAAGCCUGACCGAGCAACGCCGCGUGAGUGAUUAAGGCCUUCGGGUUGUAAAGCUCUGUUGUAAGGGAAGAACAUUCAGGAUAGGAAAUGAUCUUGAACUGACGGUACCUUACCAGAAAGCCACGGCUAACUCCGUGCCAGCAGCCGCGGUAAUACGGAGGGUGCAAGCGUUAUUCGGAAUUAUUGGGCGUAAAGCGCGUGUAGGCGGUUUGUUAAGUCUGGUGUGAAAGCCCUGGGCUCAACCUGGGAAGUGCAUUGGAUACUGGCAAACUUGAGUACGGGAGAGGAUAGUGGAAUUUCUGGUGUAGCGGUGAAAUGCAUAGAGAUCACACAGAAUAUCGAUUGCGAAGGCAACUCACAAAGCCAUUAUUGACGCUGAGGCACGAAAGUGUGGGGAUCAAACAGGAUUAGAUACCCUGGUAGUCCACACCGUAAACGAUGAUAACUCGCUGUCGGCGAUAAACAGUCGGUAGCCAAGCGAAAGCGAUAAGUUAUCCACCUGGGGAGUACGACCGCAAGGUUGAAACUCAAAGGAAUUGACGGGGGCCCGCACAAGCGGAGGAACAUGUGGUUUAAUUCGAUGAUACGCGAGGAACCUUACCCGGGCUCGAACGGUGCAGGAAUUAUGCCGAAAGGUAUAAGCCAGCAAUGGCCGUAUACGAGGUGCUGCAUGGUUGUCGUCAGCUCGUGCCGUGAGGUGUCGGCUUAAGUGCCAUAACGAGCGCAACCCUUGUCGUUAGUUACCAUCAAGUAAUGUUGGGGACUCUAGCGAGACUGCCACCGUAAGGUGUGAGGAAGGGGGGGAUGACGUCAAAUCAGCACGGCCCUUACGUCCGGGGCGACACACGUGUUACAAUGGUAGGUACAGAGGGGCGCUAUCCAGCGAUGGAGUGCGAAUCUCAAAAACCUAUCUCAGUUCGGAUCGGAGUCUGCAACUCGACUCCGUGAAGUUGGAUUCGCUAGUAAUCGCGCAUCAGCCAUGGCGCGGUGGAUACGUUCCCGGGCCU
rnacentral:rRNA from 1 species